rnacentral:rRNA from 1 species
UCGAGAAUCAUUCGCAAUGGGCGAAAGCCUGACGGUGCGACGCCGCGUGGAGGAUGAAGGCCCUCGGGUUGUAAACUCCUGUCAUCAGGGAGUAAGGCCACGGUAGUAACUGACCUGUGGAUUGAUAGUACCUGAAGAGGAAGAGACGGCUAACUCUGUGCCAGCAGCCGCGGUAAUACAGAGGUCUCAAGCGUUGUUCGGAUUUACUGGGCGUAAAGCGUGCGUAGGCGGCGAGGCAAGUCAGAUGUGAAAGCUCGGGGCUCAACCCCGAAACUGCAUCCGAAACUGCCUUGCUAGAGUAAUGGAGGGGAGUCUGGAAUUCACGGUGUAGCAGUGAAAUGCGUAGAUAUCGUGAGGAACACUAGUGGCGAAGGCGAGACUCUGGACAUUUACUGACGCUGAGGCACGAAGGCUAGGGUAGCGAAGCGGAUUAGAUACCCCCGUAGUCC